AGAUGCGAGGGUGAUCGGGCUGUGACACAUCCGUCACCCCAUUGAUCUCCAGGGUUGAUUCGGCUGAUCUGGCUGGCUUAGCGGGUGUCCCCUUCCUCCCUCACUGCUCCAUGUGCAUCUCUCCCGAAGCUGCACACUCGGUCAAAAAGAACGACCAUCCCCAACAGAGGAGGAACAGUCUUCGGUCAAGGGUGUACGAGCAGCUGUACUCCCCUGCUAGAACUUCCAAACAAGCUCUCAAGAGAUUUCAGUAAAAUAUGGCUGGGCUCAGUGGCUCACGCCUGUAAUCCCAGCACUUUGGGAGACCAAGGUGGGCGGAUCACCUGAG
ensembl:misc_RNA 7SK 7SK RNA